rnacentral:rRNA from 1 species
GACGAACCGUCCAAACGUUAUUCGGAAUUACUGGGCUUAAAGGGUGCGUAGGCGGCGCGGAAAGUAGGGUGUGAAAUCCCUCGGCUUAACCGAGGAAUGGCGCUCUAAACUACCGUGCUUGAGGAAGAUAGAGGAGAGCGGAACUUAGGGUGGAGCGGUGAAAUGCGUUGAUAUCCUAAGGAACACCGGUGGCGAAGGCGGCUCUCUGGAUCUUUUCUGACGCUGAGGCACGAAAGCUAGGGGAGCGAACGGGAUUAGAUACCCCGGUAGUCCUAGCUGUAAACGAUGAGCACUGGAUCGGAGGGACCCUCAUAUCCUUCUGGUCGAACCGAAAGAGUUAAGUGCUCCGCCUGGGGAGUAUGGUCGCAAGGCUGAA